UACAGAGGUCCCAAGCGUUGUUCGGAUUCACUGGGCGUAAAGGGUGCGUAGGUGGUCGGGUAAGUCUGAUGUGAAAUCUCUGGGCUCAACCCAGAAAUGGCAUUGGAUACUAUUCGGCUGGAGGGUUGGAGGGGGGACUGGAAUUCUCGGUGUAGCAGUGAAAUGCGUAGAUAUCGAGAGGAACACCAGUGGCGAAGGCGAGUCCCUGGACAACUCCUGACACUAAGGCACGAAAGCUAGGGGAGCAAACAGG
rnacentral:rRNA from 1 species